UAUUAUGAGAGUUUGAUCCUGGCUCAGGACGAACGCUGGCGGCGUGCCUAAUACAUGCAAGUCGAACGCUUCUUUCCUCCCGAGUGCUUGCACUCGAUUGGAAAGAGGAGUGGCGGACGGGUGAGUAACACG
rnacentral:rRNA from 1 species